UGAGGAAUAUUGGACAAUGGGAGCAAUCCUGAUCCAGCCAUGCCGCGUGCAGGAAGACGGUCCUAUGGAUUGUAAACUGCUUUUAUACAGGAAGAAAAAGCCCGACGUGUCGGGUGUUGACGGUACUGUAUGAAUAAGGAUCGGCUAACUCCGUGCCAGCAGCCGCGGUAAUACGGAGGAUCCGAGCGUUAUCCGGAAUUAUUGGGUUUAAAGGGUCCGUAGGCGGGAUAAUAAGUCAGUGGUGAAAGUUUGUGGCUCAACCAUAAAAUUGCCAUUGAUACUGUUAUUCUUGAGUUAUUGUGAAGUGGUUAGAAUGUGUAGUGUAGCGGUGAAAUGCAUAGAUAUUACACAGAAUACCAAUUGCGAAGGCAGAUCACUAACAAUUAACUGACGCUGAUGGACGAAAGCGUAGGUAGCGAACAGGAUUAGAUACCCUGGUAGUCUACGCAGUAAACGAUGGUUACUAGCUGUUCGGUCUAAUUGCGGGCUGAGUGGCUAAGCGAAAGUGACAAGUAACCCACCUGGGGAGUACGUUCGCAAGAAUG
rnacentral:rRNA from 1 species